rnacentral:tRNA from 1 species
ACUGUGAUGACCAAGGGAUUAAGGCGUUGGAUUUCGAAAUUCAAUCGGUUAUGCCCGCACAGGUUUAAAUCCUGUCCACAGCG